rnacentral:rRNA from 1 species
UACGUAGGGGGCGAGCGUUGUCCGGAUUUAUUGGGCGUAAAGAGCGUGUAGGCGGUUCGGUAAGUCGGAUGUGAAAUCUCCAGACUCAACCUGGAGGGGUCAUUCGAUACUGCCGUGACUAGAGUUCGGUAGGGGAGUGUGGAAUUCCUGGUGGAGCGGUGAAAUGCGCAGAUAUCAGGAGGAACACCCGUAGCGAAGGCGGCACUCUGGGCCGAUACUGACACUGAGGUGCGAAAGCGUGGGGAGCAAACAGG